rnacentral:rRNA from 1 species
ACGAUGAAGCCCAGCUUGCUGGGUGGAUUAGUGGCGAACGGGUGAGUAACACGUGAGUAACCUGCCCUUGACUCUGGGAUAAGCCUGGGAAACUGGGUCUAAUACCGGAUAGGAACGUCCACCGCAUGGUGGUUGUUGGAAAGAUUUAUCGGUCAUGGAUGGACUCGCGGCCUAUCAGCUUGUUGGUGAGGUAAUGGCUCACCAAGGCGACGACGGGUAGCCGGCCUGAGAGGGUGACCGGCCACACUGGGACUGAGACACGGCCCAGACUCCUACGGGAGGCAGCAGUGGGGAAUAUUGCACAAUGGGCGAAAGCCUGAUGCAGCGACGCCGCGUGAGGGAUGACGGCCUUCGGGUUGUAAACCUCUUUCAGUAGGGAAGAAGCGAAAGUGACGGUACCUGCAGAAGAAGCACCGGCUAACUACGUGCCAGCAGCCGCGGUAAUACGUAGGGUGCGAGCGUUAUCCGGAAUUAUUGGGCGUAAAGAGCUCGUAGGCGGUUUGUCGCGUCUGUCGUGAAAGUCCGGGGCUUAACCCCGGAUCUGCGGUGGGUACGGGCAGACUAGAGUGCAGUAGGGGAGACUGGAAAUUCCUGGUGUAGCGGGUGGAAUGCGCAGAUAUCAGGAGGAACACCGAUGGCGAAGGCAGGUCUCUGGGCUGUAACUGACGCUGAGGAGCGAAAGCAUGGGGAGCGAACAGGAUUAGAUACCCUGGUAGUCCAUGCCGUAAACGUUGGGCACUAGGUGUGGGGACCAUUCCACGGUUUCCGCGCCGCAGCUAACGCAUUAAGUGCCCCGCCUGGGGAGUACGGCCGCAAGGCUAAAACUCAAAGGAAUUGACGGGGGCCCGCACAAGCGGCGGAGCAUGCGGAUUAAUUCGAUGCAACGCGAAGAACCUUACCAAGGCUUGACAUGUUCUCGAUCGCCGUAGAGAUACGGUUUCCCCUUUGGGGCGGGAUCACAGGUGGUGCAUGGUUGUCGUCAGCUCGUGUCGUGAGAUGUUGGGUUAAGUCCCGCAACGAGCGCAACCCUCGUUCCAUGUUGCCAGCACGUAAUGGUGGGGACUCAUGGGAGACUGCCGGGGUCAACUCGGAGGAAGGUGGGGACGACGUCAAAUCAUCAUGCCCCUUAUGUCUUGGGCUUCACGCAUGCUACAAUGGCCGGUACAAUGGGUUGCGAUACUGUGAGGUGGAGCUAAUCCCAAAAAGCCGGUCUCAGUUCGGAUUGGGGUCUGCAACUCGACCCCAUGAAGUCGGAGUCGCUAGUAAUCGCAGAUCAGCAACG